GAUGAACGCUGGCGGCGUGCCUAAUACAUGCAAGUCGAGCGACCAGACAAGGAGCUUUCUCCUUUAACGUUAGCGACGGACGGGUGAGUGACACGUGGAUAACCUACCUCUUAGACUGGGAUAAUUUCGGGAAACCGGUGCCACUACUGCAUCAUAUAUUCUACCGCUGAGUUCAAUAGUUCAUGCCGCCUUUCGCGUCUGUAUGAGACGGAUCCGCACCGGCUUAGCUAGUUGGUAAGGUAACGGCUUACCAAGGCGACGAUGCGUAGCCGAUCUGAUAGGGUGAUCGGCCACACUGGAACUGAGACACGGUCCAGACUCCUACGGGAGGCAGCAGUAGGGAAUCUUCGGCAAUGGGCGCAAGCCUGACGCAGCAACGCCGCGUGAGUGAUGAAGGUCUUCGGAUCGUAAAGCUCUUUUGUUAGGGAAGAAAAAAAGUAUGUGUAACUAUGCACGUCUUGACGGUACCUAAAGAGAAAGCCACGGCUAACUUCGUG
rnacentral:rRNA from 1 species